GAACACUCAAGUCUUCCCGAAUCCAUUAGCAAAUUAAUUGCGAACCCGAAAACGAUUCUUGUAUGCUUCCCUAGGAGGUCCGUCCGGUAUCUGUAUCCCAUUUUAAUGGAUCGGAUCCUAAAAAACUCCGACCCAUCAGUAGCACUACGAAAACGACUGGAUCUCUGCGGAGGAACGCAGAGGGCUUCCUCUUUUGGGCGAUUCCUCGACCCCAAUCGAUCACGCACUCGGGCUUGUCGAAGCUUCAGCGUUCGACGUCCAUGGAGUGUGCGAAAAGGUCAUCGCUGAGAGGUACCGAUCCGACACUGCUAUCCGCCAACGAGUACCACAGUCUCCGUCGAUGAGAAAGCCCUGCUACCGAGUUCGUCACUUUCUGGCGAGGAUUCUGCAUUGAUCACUGCAGAAGAGAGCCUGCUAGAGCAUUUCCCCCUUGAGUUGUGGGGUACUUCAAUUUGUCAUAGAAGAGGUUAAUGUUGUGGAACAUCAUAAAUCAUGUAAAGAACACAGAAAUGUAAGCUUUCCUUUCAUUCCACUUCUGUGCUCAGCACCAGUUACCUGAGCACUGACAAGUAGUUUCAGCUUCCAGCCAAAUAAGAGUGUUGGGCACUUUAAACAUCA